rnacentral:rRNA from 1 species
UGCAAGUCGAACGAAAAGAGGGAAAGAGCUUGCUCUUUCCGGAAUUGAGUGGCAAACGGGUGAGUAACACGUAAACAACCUGCCUUCAGGAUGGGGACAACAGACGGAAACGACUGCUAAUACCGAAUAAGUUCCAAGAGCCGCAUGGCCCAUGGAAGAAAAGGUGGCCUCUACCUGUAAGCUAUCGCCUGAAGAGGGGUUUGCGUCUGAUUAGCUGGUUGGAGGGGUAACGGCCCACCAAGGCGACGAUCAGUAGCCGGUCUGAGAGGAUGAACGGCCACACUGGAACUGAGACACGGUCCAGACUCCUACGGGAGGCAGCAGUGGGGAAUCUUCCGCAAUGGGCGAAAGCCUGACGGAGCAACGCCGCGUGAGUGAUGACGGCCUUCGGGCUGUAAAACUCUGUGAUCCGGGACGAAAAGGCAGAGUGCGAAGAACAAACUGCAUUGACGGUACCGGAAAAGCAAGCCACGGCUAACUACGUGCCAGCAGCCGCGGUAAUACGUAGGUGACAAGCGUUGUCCGGAAUUAUUGGGCGUAAAGCGCGCGCAGGCGGCUUCCCAAGUCCCUCUUAAAAGUGCGGGGCUUAACCCCGUGAUGGGAAGGAAACUGGGAAGCUGGAGUAUCGGAGAGGAAAGUGGAAUUCCUAGUGUAGCGGUGAAAUGCGUAGAGAUUAGGAAGAACACCGGUGGCGAAGGCGACUUUCUGGACGAAAACUGACGCUGAGGCGCGAAAGCGUGGGGAGCAAACAGGAUUAGAUACCCUGGUAGUCCACGCCGUAAACGAUGGAUACUAGGUGUAGGAGGUAUCGACCCCUUCUGUGCCGGAGUUAACGCAAUAAGUAUCCCGCCUGGGAAGUAC